AUGUGGCUCUGCAUGUCUGAGAAGGAGAGGAGCAUGAUUCACAGUUCAGAAUACCCACGAAACCCAAAACGAAAUAUCAGAACGAAGCCCUGUUCAUCGUCUUCUCCAUCUCACCCUCGCCGGCACGAAGCUUUUCAGCACCGUUCAUCAUCUCACCCUCGCCGACACGAACCUUAUCAGCACCGUUCAUCAACUCACCCUCGCCGGCACGAAGUUAUUCUCGUUUUUGUUCUGAUUCCUCAUCCUCGCCGGCACGAAGCUUUUUUCGUCUAG